CGCAAGUUGCGCCCGAAGCCAUUAGGUCGAGGGCACGCCUGCCUGGGCGUCACGCAUCGCGUCGCCCCCUCCCUCCCCUCUCCUUU
rnacentral:rRNA from 1 species